GGAGGAAUAUUGGUCAAUGGACGAAAGUCUGAACCAGCCAUGCCGCGUGAAGGAAUAAGGCCCUAUGGGUCGUAAACUUCUUUUGUAUGUGAGCAAUAAGGUCCACGUGUGGACCGAUGAGAGUAGCAUACGAAUAAGCAUCGGCUAACUCCGUGCCAGCAGCCGCGGUAAUACGGAGGAUGCAAGCGUUAUCCGGAUUCAUUGGGUUUAAAGGGUGCGUAGGCGGCUUGGUAAGUCAGCGGUGAAAUUCCAGUGCUCAACAUUGGCCGUGCCGUUGAUACUGCUGGGCUUGAAUGCGGAUGCCGUGGGAGGAAUGUGUGGUGUAGCGGUGAAAUGCAUAGAUAUCAUGAAGAACUCCGAUUGCGAAGGCAGCUUUCCAGCACGCCACUGACGCUGAGG
rnacentral:rRNA from 1 species